rnacentral:rRNA from 1 species
CCUACGGGUGGCAGCAGUGGGGAAUAUUGGACAAUGGGGGGAACCCUGAUCCAGCCAUGCCGCGUGUGUGAAGAAGGCCCUCGGGUUGUAAAGCACUUUCAGUGAGGAAGAACGCCUGGUGGUUAAUACCCAUCAGGAAAGACAUCACUCACAGAAGAAGCACCGGCUAACUCCGUGCCAGCAGCCGCGGUAAUACGGAGGGUGCGAGCGUUAAUCGGAAUUACUGGGCGUAAAGCGCGCGUAGGUGGCUUGAUAAGCCGGUUGUGAAAGCCCCGGGCUCAACCUGGGAACGGCAUCCGGAACUGUCAAGCUAGAGUGCAGGAGAGGAAGGUAGAAUUCCCGAUGUAGCGGUGAAAUGCGUAGAGAUCGGGGGGAAUACCAGUGGCGAAGGCGGCCUUCUGGACUGACACUGACACUGAGGUGCGAAAGCGUGGGUAGCAAACAGGAUUAGAUACCCUGGUAGUC